UGUUGUUGUUGUUGUUGUUGUUGCAUUUCCUGCAGGGCUCUGUGUGAUAUGUUUGAUAUAUUAGGUUGUAAUUGAGCCCAACUAUAUAUCAAACAUUCCUACAGGGCCCCGCUCUGUCUCCAG
rnacentral:pre_miRNA from 11 species